rnacentral:rRNA from 1 species
CCUACGGGAGGCAGCAGUGAGGAAUAUUGGUCAAUGGACGAGAGUCUGAACCAGCCAAGUAGCGUGAAGGAUGACUGCCCUAUGAGUUGUAAACUUCUUUUAUAUGGGAAUAAAAUGUUCCACGUGUGGGAUUUUGUAUGUAUCAUAUGAAUAAGGAUCGGCUAACUCCGUGCCAGCAGCCGCGGUAAUACGGAGGAUCCGAGCGUUAUCCGGAUUUAUUGGGUUUAAAGGGAGCGUAGGUGGAUUGUUAAGUCAGUUGUGAAAGUUUGCGGCUCAACCGUAAAAUUGCAGUUGAAACUGGCAGUCUUGAGUACAGUAGAGGUAGGCGGAAUUCGUGGUGUAGCGGUGAAAUGCUUAGAUAUCACGCAGAACUCCGAUUGCGAAGGCAGUUCACUGGACUGCAACUGACACUGAGGCUCGAAAGUGUGGGUAUCAAACAGGAUUAGAUACCCCUGUAGUC